GUUAAAGACGAUGACGUUGAUAGGCCGGGUGUGUAAGCGCAGCGAUGCGUUGAGCUAACCGGUACUAAUGAACCGUGAGGCUUAACCUUAC
rnacentral:rRNA from 1 species